GACGAACGCUGGCGGCGUGCUUAACACAUGCAAGUCGAACGGAAAGGCCCUGCUUUUGUGGGGUGCUCGAGUGGCGAACGGGUGAGUAACACGUGAGUAACCUGUCCUUGCCUUUGGGAUAACUUCAGGAAACUGGGGCUAAUACCGGAUAGGAGCUCUUGCCGCAGGGUGGGGGUUGGAAAGUUUCGGCGGUUGGGGAUGGACUCGCGUCCCAUCAGCUUGUUGGGGGGGUAGUGGCAAACCAAGGCUUUGACGCGUAGCCGACCUGAUCGGGUGACCGGCCACAUUGCAACGGGACUAAGGCACAGACUCCACUGGGACGGAACGGUGGAGAAGAUAGCACUAUAGGCAGAGGCAAGAUGUAGUCCAGCAGCGUGCGGGAUGACAGCAUUCGCGUAGUAAUGCACUUUCGCCUGUGCCGAAGCGAGAGUGACGGUAAUGGGUGAAGAAGCACCGGCUAACUACGUG
rnacentral:rRNA from 1 species